UUUAAAAUGUGAAAAAACCAGAAGAGCACUUACACAAAUCGGCACACAAAAUGCCUCGUUAGGCUAAUAGCAGAUAUGCCUAACGUCGAUAUAUCAGCCAAGGCACAUACACGCACAACGUUAUGCGAGACAAUGCUGCUAGGAAAGCCCUGUAAACUGAUGUGACGCUCUCCGUAGGAUGGAACAACUUCUGCUGCUGGAGUUACACAAACAAAAUGUGUUUCUGGCGAGCCCACGACCCUCGGGAGGGUAUAGUUGUGGACAACACACUUGCACACUUGCACACCCUCGGGAGGGUAUAGUUGUGGACAACACACUUGCACACUCUUAUUUCGAUAUUUGGAAUGAUGGCAUUUUCUACUUCUACGAAUCACAAGGCGACAACUCUACUUAAUCUGGCGAACAAUCUACUCUGGUACACAGCCAUCCUUGACGGACAGCGUACAGCUUUUGACGGGCUUUCCUAGCUUUUUAUAGCGGUGACAUACUAGAGGUUAUUACACGCACAUAUUCACGCACUACACAUUCACAAUUUCUCGUUAAAUAACUCAAGGCUAAUGGCGAGUCCGUUGGUAUGGCGAACACACAUUUUAAUGUUUAAUACAAUUCUAGCAUGUUAAUAAAUAUAAUUAAAGAAAUGACAA